GGCCAGACUCCUACGGGAGGCAGCAGUGGGGAAUAUUGCACAAUGGGGGGAACCCUGAUGCAGCGACGCCGCGUGAGUGAAGAAGUAUUUCGGUAUGUAAAGCUCUAUCAGCAGGAACGAGACAAGACGGUACCUGACUAAGAAGCCCCGGCUAACUACGUGCCAGCAGCCGCGGUAAUACGUAGGGGGCAAGCGUUAUCCGGAAUCACUGGGUGUAAAGGGAGCGUAGACGGCUGUGCAAGCCUGAAGUGAAAGGCGGGGGCCCAACCCCUGGACUGCUUUGGGAACUGUACGGCUGGAGUGCAGGAGAGGUAAGUGGAAUUCCUAGUGUAGCGGUGAAAUGCGUAGAUAUUAGGAGGAACACCAGUGGCGAAGGCGGCUUACUGGACUGUAACUGACGUUGAGGCUCGAAAGCGUGGGGAGCAAACAGGAUUAGAUACCCCGGUA
rnacentral:rRNA from 1 species